rnacentral:rRNA from 1 species
ACUCAAAGGAAUAGACGGGGGCCCGCACAAGCAGCGGAGCGUGUGGUUUAAUUCGAGGCUACACGAAGAACCUUACCUGGGUUUGACAUGACGCUAGUAGGGACGUGAAAGCGUGCCGACCGCAAGGAGGCGUCACUGGUGCUGCAUGGCUGUCGUCAGCUCGUGCCGUGAGGUGUUAGGUUAAGUCCUGUAACGAGCGCAACCCCCAGGUCCAGUUACACGUUGUCUGGACCGACUGCCCGUGACAAGCGGGAGGAAGGUGGGGAUGACGUCAAGUCAGCAUGGCCUGUAUAUCCAGGGCUACACACACGCUACAAUGGCCGGUACAAUGGGUCGCCAAGCCGCAAGGCGGAGCCAAUCCAGUCAAAGCCGGUCACAGUUCGGAUUGAGGGCUGCAACCCGCCCUCAUGAAGUCGGAGUUGCUAGUAACCGCCGGUCAGCCAUACGGCGGUGAAUACGUUCCCGGGCCUUGCACACACCGCCCGU